GACUCAACGCGGGAAAUCUUACCGGGUCCGGACACACUGAGGAUUGACAGACAAAUAUGGAAAUUUUAUAUUUCUCAUAUAUAAAGAUGCUAGUUCUUUCAUGAUUAUGUGAUAGGUGGUGCAUGGCCGUUCUUAGUUCGUGGAGUGAUCUGUCUGCUUAAUUGCGUUUCAAUUUUUAUUAUGUAUACGUAUGACCCACGUUUACGCGUGCGAGUCUAGUAUGCUAUCAUUUGAAAGCAACGAACGUGACCGUAUCCUUUUAUUAUAUACGCACGCGUAUAUUUAUUCAUUAAAGGGACCGCUGUUUCUUUUUUUAAACCAGAGGAAGGUUACGGCAAUAACAG
rnacentral:rRNA from 1 species